GGGGCUUAACCCCGGAUCUGCGGUGGGUACGGGCAGACUAGAGUGCAGUAGGGGAGACUGGAAUUCCUGGUGUAGCGGUGGAAUGCGCAGAUAUCAGGAGGAACACCGAUGGCGAAGGCAGGUCUCUGGGCUGUAACUGACGCUGAGGAGCGAAAGCAUGGGGAGCGAACAGGAUUAGAUACCCUGGUAGUCCAUGCCGUAAACGUUGGGCACUAGGUGUGGGGACCAUUCCACGGUUUCCGCGCCGCAGCUAACGCAUUAAGUGCCCCGCCUGGGGAGUACGACCGCAAGGUUGAAACUCAAAGGAAUUGAC
rnacentral:rRNA from 1 species